rnacentral:rRNA from 1 species
GAUGAACGCUGGCGGCGUGCCUAAUACAUGCAAGUCGAGCGAACAGACGAGGAGCUUGCUCCUCUGACGUUAGCGGCGGACGGGUGAGUAACACGUGGAUAACCUACCUAUAAGACUGGGAUAACUUCGGGAAACCGGAGCUAAUACCGGAUAAUAUAUUGAACCGCAUGGUUCAAUAGUGAAAGACGGUUUUGCUGUCACUUAUAGAUGGAUCCGCGCCGCAUUAGCUAGUUGGUAAGGUAACGGCUUACCAAGGCAACGAUGCGUAGCCGACCUGAGAGGGGGAUCGGCCACAUUGGAACUGAGACACGGUCAAGACUCCUACGGGAGGCAGCAGUAGGGAAUCUUCCGCAAAGGGCGAAAGCCUGACGGAGCAACGCCGCGUGAGUGAUGAAGGUCUUCGGAUCGUAAAAAUCUGUUAUUAGGGAAGAACAAAUGUGUAAGUAACUAUGCACGUAUUGACGGUACCUAAUCAGAAAGCCACGGCUAACUACGUG